CCAAUCUUUUAGCGAGCCUUGGCUUUGUCCAUGGUCUUGCAAACUUUGUAUUUAAAACCCGCUCAUAAAUUAAAACAAUACAGUUUUGUUAUUAUAAAUAAAGA
rnacentral:misc_RNA from 1 species